rnacentral:lncRNA from 1 species
AAGCCAGUUGUACAGGAACUGCCAAAGGCAACAGAAAUUCUUUCUCCCUAUGUCCCAGCCUACCCCCACUUUACCGAGGCCAACAGCCGCCUCAGAAACCAGAUUCAGGAGCUAACAUGCCCCAGGUCUCACGAGGAUCAGAGACUCCAGAGGCCAGGGAAGGAGAUCAAGGUAGUCAAGCGGGGGUCGUCUCAGAUCUGGUUGUGCUCGAGCUAUGCAAAUGCCUCUCACGGAGAUGCGAGGACCUAUCUAUUAUGAUGACCAGGGCCACAUCCGGAGGGGGCAACAGACUUUCAUCUAUCAGCCCUUUUCAACCACUGAUCUACUAAACUGGAAACACUCUGAACCCUGCCAUCUUGCUCCUGGUAUCAGAGAGCCCUGUCGUGCAUAACUGUGUAGAAGUGUUGGACUCGGUUUACUCCAGCAGACCUGAUCUCCGGGACCAGCCUUGGGCAUCAGUAGACUGGAAGCUAUAUGUGGACAGGAGCAGCUUCAUCAACCCACAAGGAGAGAGAUGUGCGGGAUAUGUGGUGGAACCCUGGACACUGUCGUUGAAGCCAGAUCGUUGCUCCAAGGCACUUCAGCCCAGAAAGAUGAGCUCAUUGCUUUAAUUUGGGCCUUAGAACUCAGUUAAGGCCUUCUACGGUCCCAGGCUUUCUGCUGCAUACACUGAAGGGCCACGAAGUACAGUCAUCUGGACUUGGCACCUGGAAUACAAGGAUGGAAAGCAUCAUUUCUGCCAGCUUCUUAUGGUCCUGAGGCGAGACAGUCAUGAGAGAGGAAAACUGCAAUGACUUCUGACCACUGCCAGCCUCGCUUCCUGCAUUUUCUUCUUCGGCUUACUCUUGCCAAGUUGGAGUUGCCUAACUUCCAAGAGGACAUCUGCAAUG